rnacentral:lncRNA from 1 species
AUUAGAGUGUAUAUCAAUCACUUUCAGUGACAGGAUAUAAAUUUAGCCUGUGUACAAAUGGAAUUUCUUUUAUAAAUUGACUUAUACGAACAGUAAAGCUUAUUAUCCCAGUAAAACUGAUUAUUCCAUUAUUCCAAUAAGAAUAGAGAUUUCUUACUUUUUUUUACCAACUGCCUAAAAUAUUCUCAUGAGAGGAGGCCAAGUUAGAGCUGACUCUUUAUAGUCAAAGUGCCUGAGUAUCUAAGGUGUUCCGUAGAAGCUGUAUCUGGAACACAGUCCUAGAGAUUCCAGAAUUUCAAUCCUGUCAUCAGACGCUCUCAAGAAAGUCUUGCCUUGUUUACAAAAUAAUGUUGCUAUGGAAUAAUUUUUCUGCCCUGAAAAUACUGGGCAGAAAUACAGGAGUCGGGCUCCUGAGGAAAGGACCCCAAUGGUGCAGUGAAUUCUGUCCUUAAUUCCAUGACCAAUGGCCCCUGGGUUUCCUGAGGGGGGCAGCACACACAACUGCUGGAAAAGCUGCAAAGGAGAAACGCAUGCGGGAGCUGCGUGGACGUGGACGUGGACGUGGACGAGGACCAGGAAGGAUUUGCAGGCGCACCACUAACAGUGAGGGAAAGGCCCUGGGGCUACUUUUAUGAUAGAAUACUACAUGAAGUGCUGGAGGAUGGGCAGGUCCAGGGUGUGUCACAUGCUGGUGAUGUUGGAACCACUAUGACAGAACCCUUCACAUUGGGUCCCACCAAGAAGAAAGCCUUCAGCAGGAUGGCAGCCAAGCCUUCCUCCGCAUGCCUAGCUCAUCAGGUGAUUUGCCAGAAACCUGGAGAUUUCACACCAAAAUAUCAGGACAUGCCUGGGUGCUCACCGAUUGUGUGACUGAAGGAGAGACCCCAAGUGAGAACAGCAGAAGAACCGUCCAACUGAGCCCUGGUCAACCCUCAAAAGCACAAGAAAUAUUGAAAUGCUGGUCAUUUUAAGCCACUAAGUUAUUGGGGUUAGAGUCAUAUCAAGGAAGUGGAAACAUUCCUCCUUUGGAAAGCAGAAAGGUAAUACUUAACCAAAAUCUGGAAAGGCAUUUUGAAGCAGAAAUCCUAUUCUUCUAAUAGUAUCAUUAAAAAAUUGUUCCAUAAGCAAAAAAUGGUAUGCCUGAAAAGUAUUCAUUGUUGAAUGAUUUGAAAAAAUUACAAAUAAUAAAGUGGAGCAUUAAU